GGGGCUUCCUGGCUGCUGCGGCCAGGACAGCAUCUCCUCUGGUUGGAAAGGCUCCCAGGAAGCCCGGGCUGCAGAGAAAUGGCAGCCCUGCAGCUGUUCUCAGCCCCUCCCUGGCCGGCACGGAUUUCCCCGCCUGGUGCCCAGCCAAGCCUAGCCUGCCCUCUCUGUUUCAGUCCUGGCCUUGACCCAGACUCUGAGCUCCCAAGUCCUGAUGCCUCCAGUCCUUCUGCCAAGGAUGUCAGUGGUGCUCAGGCCCACCAUAACCCCCCAGGAAGUUCAGAAUGGAGCAGCAGAUGCCACUGCUAAAGGUGAGUGCAAGCACCUUCAAUAUGAAUGCGGCAGUCCUGCCCUGGCCUGCCCCAGCCGCAGCCCUGCAGGCCACAGGCUCCCUCCCUGUCCCUCAGGCCCCACUUUGCUGAGGGGGUCCCUGCAGCUCUGACUCCAGCUGAGAUCAGGCCUGAGGGACCCUCUUGAGCAUCUUCCAGGAUCUGGACCAAAUAAGGAGGCUCCCCGUCUGUGCCCCCAAAUCACUCCUUAUUUGGAGGUUACACCAGGGCACCUGGAGAGUGGGGGAGCACUGGGCACUCUAGUUUGGGCUUCAGGCCUGUGUACACCCCUCCAUCUCCCCCGCAGCUUCCCUCCAAAAGCCUCCUUUGCUGACCCCCACCCGCCCUGCCCAGCUCUGUAACCUGCUUCUUCUGUAAUAGCAGGAAAGAGACCGCCUCUUCCCUCUGCAGCCCCCUCCGGAAGCGCCUCAGCUGCCGAGGUGAGGAGGGGCUGGGCACGGGCUGGGCAGGAGGCCUGAGGGGACCAUAGCCUGAGCAUCUUCACCUGGCCCCCUCUGCUUUCCUUGUAUUCUCUCACCACCCUCCCCAACACACAUUUGCCUUCAGACACCCACUCCUGUUGCAGGUCCAGCUGACCACACUGUGCCUACAUGGGAGGUGACCACCCGAGAGCAAAGGCUGGGUGGGGCUUCCUGGC
rnacentral:lncRNA from 1 species